CAACRGAUAUCUCGGCUCUUGCAUCGAUGAAGAACGUAGCGAAAUGCGAUACUUGGUGUGAAUUGCAGAAUCCCGUGAACCAUCGAGUCUUUGAACGCAAGUUGCGCCCGAGGCCAUUAGGUCGAGGGCACGUCUGCCUGGGCGUCACAC
rnacentral:rRNA from 1 species